rnacentral:rRNA from 1 species
GACGAACGCUGGCGGCGUGCUUAACACAUGCAAGUCGAACGAAGUGGCGAACGGGUGAGUAAUACGUGGGUAACCUGCCCUCCUUUUUGGGAUAAGCCUUGGAAACGGGGUCUAAUACCGAAUAAAGGGGGAUGGGCUCGCGGCCUAUCAGCUUGUUGGUGGGGUGAUGGCCUACCAAGGCGGGGACGGGUAGCAGGCCUGAGAGGGUGACCGGCCAUGUUGGGACGGCGAUACUGCCACGAGUGCUACGGGAGGCAGCUGUUCGGGAUAUUGCACAAUGCGGGAGAGCCUGAUGCAGCGAAGCGGAGUGGGGGUUGAAGGCUUUAGGCUUUUAAAUCUGUUACGCUAACGAUCCGGUAGCUGAAGAAGAAGCGACGGCUAACUACGUGCCAGCAGCCGCGGUAAUUC